AUACGGAGGACGCGAGCGUUAUCCGGAUUCAUUGGGUUUAAAGGGUGCGCAGGCGGCCGUGCAAGUCAGCGGUGAAAGCCCGGGGCUCAACCCCGGAAGUGCCGUUGAUACUGCAUGGCUGGAAUGCGGUCGAGGCGGGCGGAACGUGGCGUGUAGCGGGGGAAUGCGUAGAUAUGCCACAGAACGCCGAUAGCGGAGGCAGCUCGCCAGGCCUGCAUUGACGCUCGGGCACGAAAGCGUGGGGAUCGAACAGGAUUAGAUACCCUGGUAGUCCACGCCGUAAACGAUGGGCGCUCGUCGUCGGCGGCAGACAGUCGGCGGCCAAGCGAAAGCGAUAAGCGCCCCACCUGGGGAGUACGGUCGCAAGGCUGAAACUUAAAGGAAUUGACGGGG
rnacentral:rRNA from 1 species